UCAUUCCUACGGGGGGCAGCAGUGAGGAAUAUUGGUCAAUGGUCGGGAGACUGAACCAGCCACGCCGCGUGAGGGAUGAAGGUACAGAGUAUCGUAAACCUCUUUUGUCAGGGAACAAAGGCGGGGACGCGUCCCCGGAUGAGUGUACCUGAAGAAAAAGCAUCGGCUAACUCCGUGCCAGCAGCCGCGGUAAUACGGAGGAUGCGAGCGUUAUCCGGAUUCCUUGGGUUUAAAGGGUGCGCAGGCGGUCUGUUAAGUCAGCGGUCAAAGCCCGGGGCUCAACCCCGGCCCGCCG
rnacentral:rRNA from 1 species